rnacentral:lncRNA from 1 species
GCAGCCCCGGCGCUCCAGCCCUGUGCGGGCAGAGAGGGCUGCAAGGGGAUAACAUGAACCAUCCGCCGCCCCGCUGCUGCUGCCAGGACAGCCUCGUCCCCACCUGAAGGGCCGAUAUCGGAGUCCAUGGAGGAUGGGAUAUUUCUGUUAUAAAAGAGCAAAGCCUGGAGCUACUCUGCUGAACUUCACUCUGAAUAACAGGGUUYUGUGAGGAUUGGCUGCUGGAGGUUUGCUGGAUGAAAGGAUCCACGAGGGAGAUGCGGUAGGAAGGAGUCCAGCCACCUCCCUGGAAUGCAUUCCUUCRGGAAGGGACGAGCUCCCUGCCUUAUUUUAUGGAUGUCCCUGAAGUAGACUUUGAAGGCCUUUGG